rfam:Stegodyphus mimosarum contig95618, whole genome shotgun sequence.
GCCUUCGUGGUGUAACGGUUAGCACACUCGGCCGGAAUUCGAGAGGUCCAGGUUCGAGUCCCGGUUAGGGCA